rnacentral:lncRNA from 10 species
AAGCCAUUUAAGAAGUUCCUGGAAUAAUAUUAGUCAGAGUAAUAUAGGAUCUGCAGGAAGUGUCUCAAGAUAGUUGGAAAAGAAGAAUUUCUAGACUCUUCAUCAAGAUCUUCAUUUAUACAGCUGUUAAAUCCAAGGCUACUUUGGUGAAAGCAUGAAUAAAAAUACAUCUACUGUAGUAUCACCCAGUCUACUUGAAAAGUAAUUUUUAAGUUUAAUAUGUUUUGAAAUAUAGUUUGAAAUAUGUAAACUAUUAAUGAACAUUUGAUUAAAAGUUUUUUUACAUCUAGCUCUCUAAUGUGGUCUAGGAUAGCAGCAAUGAGUAGUGAGUAAAGUAAUACGUUGAAUUACCUUUCAAUGUAAAUCAGUGUAUAGAACAAAAUCUGCAUUCUCUUUUAAGUCAUCUGUGCAGGCACGGUAGGGCAUGCCUGUAGUCCCAGCUGCUCGGGAGACUAGGACAGGAGGAUAGCCUGAAGUUGGGAGUUUGAGGCUGUAGUAUGCUAUGAUUGUACCUGUUAAUAGCCACAGCACUCCAGCUUGGGCAACAUAGCAAAACUCUGUCUCUAAAAAUAAUAAAAAAUAGACAAUUGUCAAAUACAUUUUUAAAAACUCUUUUGUGAGAUUUCUUUUUUAAAUUUUGAUUUUUAAUAUCUAGAAUAUUUUAUAAUUCCAUUAAAAAAAUUUGAUAAUAUAUAGAUUAACUCUUGCUGACUAACAAACCACCCUAAAAUCCCUUAAAACAAUAAGCAUUUAUUUUUUCUCAUGAUUCAGUGGGUUGGUUGAGCAGUUCUGCUCUAUACCAGAUAAUGUAGGAUGGCCUCAUUUACAUCUUGUGAGGCCUCAGCUAGGAAGGUUGAAUGGCAGAGGUCUCUGUAGAACUGGUCUGUCAUUCUUCAGGAGGCUGGCUCAAGCUUUUCACAUGGUAGCAGAAGCACAGGUGUUUUCCAAAUACCCAGUUUCCUCACAUUUGCUGGUAUCCCAUGGGCCAAAGCAAUUUAAAUAGCCAAAUGAAAAUUCAAGGAGUGGAGAUACAGACUUUGCUUUUAGUGAAAGGAAGCAGUAAAGUCACAUUACCAAGAUGCAUGCAGACAGGAAUGGGAGGAAUUGGUGGCCAUUUUGCAAACGUAAAACAUACCUUUAACAAGGCAUAUU